UUCGUAGGCGGUGUGGCAAGUCGGGAGUGAAAUCUCUGGGCUCAACUCAGAGGCUGCUUCCGAAACUGCUGUGCUUGAGUGUGAGAGAGGCUCGUGGAAUUGCAGGUGUAGCGGUGAAAUGCGUAGAUAUCUGCAGGAACACCCGUGGCGAAAGCGGCGAGCUGGAUCACUACUGACGCUGAGGAACGAAAGCUAGGGGGGCAAACAGGAUUAGAUACCCUGGUAGUCCUAGCCCUAAACGAUCAGGACUUGGGGUGCCGCCCGUUCGGGCGUCGUCCCGGAGCUAACGCGUUAAGUCCUGCACCUGGGGAGUACGGUCGCAAGACUGAA
rnacentral:rRNA from 1 species